CACCAAACCUGCUCUUAACCAUAGUGGAACCACUUAUUGGAAGUCAAAAAGUGUUCAAAAAGUUUGGACUCUCCUCUCAGCUGUGCCAUAAGCUCAACAUAAUCAGUACACUACGUGAGAUGGAGCUGGCCUAAGGAGCCCCACUUCCUGUGACUGGAGAACCAGUAAUUCAAACUUUCAUGAGCAAAAAGACAAAGCAACAAUCUCCGAGUGGCUUCAAUACUACUUGCAAAGAUAGCCAAUGACAGUCUUCUGUGGCGGAGAAGUAGGGAGUGAUGGGGCCUGGACAGACAGUCCCAUUGCGUGGACGAAAAAAGGCCUGGGAUGUCACUGAAUUUAGCAGCCAGAUCAUAGCAAGACAGAAGGGAGAAAAUGCAUAGACAACACUUCAGUGACUCACUCAUGUUUGAUGAAAGCUGGGAGGAGGCCUGGAGAAUCCAAGCUACAAGCACAAAACGUACAAAUACUGGAAUCUCCCAUCAAGAGAAGGAAAUUUAGCCACCUAUCUGGUUUGUCAUUUUGCUGAACUUCCACUGAAGGAGGAAGGGCCAGCUUUAAACUCCACCCACCCUUUCCACAUCCUUCUCAAUUUUUGCUUUGAUGGGAAAGUGGGGAAACUGGCGGCCCCACCAUGGCUAAAAGAGAAUCAAAUCCUUUCUAUACUUCCUCUCAAAGCAGAGGCCUAGUAGCUCCAGUCCACAGCUUAACCAAGCAGAGGGAAUAGGGGCUUGUCCUGGUUACUGUAGGAAAGCCUCAUCAGGCAGUCUCAGGGAAGGAAGAUGACCACCCUCCUCACCCUUUCCAUCUGCUGAGGUUACUUCAUUCCAAUCCAUUAAUGGGCUUCAAAGUGCUGCUGGGGGGAGUCCAUUUAGCAGAGAAGCUAUCACGGGGCCAAAGGUGGCGCCCACCCCCUACCCCAUUUGUCGAUAAUGGGCCACAAAGUCUGAGGCUUGGCUGCACUCUAGACAUAAAAUAUUCAUUCAAGUCGACAUAAUACAUAAGUAGGAACCUCAUGGAAGCUCCUGGGAGAAGAGAAAUGCCAGCCAGGUGGCUAAGUGCUCAAUGGGAAAGAGUUCAUGAAGGCCUGGGUUAGUCCUGAUCAAAUGCCCACUGAGAAUUGGGUUGUUCUGUCCAAAGGGGAAACAAUCUAGUCUGAGAAGUUCUGACUCCCAAAAGCUCGAACCCUGCAAACCUCUUAGGCAAGCAAAGUCUCAAUCUUUUCCUACCUCAUAGGCACCAACUCUGCUUAGGACAUUUAUGCUGAGAAAAAUCUCCAGCCCAAACUUUGGUUGGUCUGAAAGAUUAAGUUAUCCUUGUGCAAACUUUAUUUUAAUCUGCAGCAGGCCGAGUUUCAACAACUGUCUUAUAUCCAUCUGUUUAGCUACUUUCCGAAGUCCAUAAAUUGGAGAAAAGUAAUUUUUUUUUUCUGAGAUAGUGUCUUGCUC
rnacentral:lncRNA from 1 species